rnacentral:rRNA from 1 species
AACACUUUCAGCAACGGAUGUCUUGGCUCCCAUGUCGAUGAAGAACGCAGCGAAAUGCGAUACGUCAUGCGAAUUGCAAAACCAGUGAGUCAUCAAAACUUUGAACGCAACUUGCACUUCCUUUACGGGGAGUAUGUCUGUUGGAGUGCUUGUUCAUCCCCAC